UUCCGGUUGAUCCUGCCGGACCUGACUGCUAUCGGAUUGAUACUAAGCCAUGCGAGUCAUUGUAGCAAUACAAGGCAGACGGCUCAGUAACGCGUAGUCAACCUAACCUAUGGACGGGAAUAACCUCGGGAAACUGAGAAUAAUGCCCGAUAGAACACUAUACCUGGAAUGGUUUGUGUUCCAAAUGAUUUAUCGCCGUAGGAUGGGACUGCGGCCUAUCAGUUUGUUGGUGAGGUAAUGGCCCACCAAGACUAUUACAGGUACGGGCUCUGAGAGGAGUAGCCCGGAGAUGGGUACUGAGACACGGACCCAGGCCCUAUGGGGCGCAGCAGGCGAGAAAACUUUGCAAUGUGCGAAAGCACGACAAGGUUAAUCCGAGUGAUUUGUGCUAAACGAAUCUUUUGUUAGUCCUAGAACCACUAACGAAUAAGGGGUGGGCAAGUUCUGGUGUCAGCCGCCGCGGUAAAACCAGCACCUCAAGUGGUCAGGAUGAUUAUUGGGCCUAAAGCAUCCGUAGCCGGCUCUGUAAGUUUUCGGUUAAAUCUGUACGCUUAACGUACAGGCUGCC
rnacentral:rRNA from 1 species